rnacentral:rRNA from 1 species
CUAUUUUAACCCUGAACGAGCCUGAUCUUGUCUGAUCUCAGAAGCUACUCAGGGUCGGGCCUGGUUAGUACUUGGGUGGGAGAACAACUAUUUUAGAAUUUCUCCUACAAAAAGAAUCUGGAGAAUAGA